AUUGAACGCUGGCGGCAGGCCUAACACAUGCAAGUCGAGCGGAUGAAGGGAGCUUGCUCCUGGAUUCAGCGGCGGACGGGUGAGUAAUGCCUAGGAAUCUGCCUGGUAGUGGGGGAUAACGGCCGGAAACGGGCGCUAAUACCGCAUACGUCCUGAGGGAGAAAGUGGGGGAUCUUCGGACCUUACGCUAUCAGAUGAGCCUAGGUCGGAUUAGCUAGUUGGUGGGGUAAAGGCCUACCAAGGCGACGAUCCGUAACUGGUCUGAGAGGAUGAUCAGUCACACUGGAACUGAGACACGGUCCAGACUCCUACGGGAGGCAGCAGUGGGGAAUAUUGGACAAUGGGCGCAAGCCUGAUCCAGCCAUGCCGCGUGUGUGAAGAAGGUCUUCGGAUUGUAAAGCACUUUAAGUUGGGAGGAAGGGCAGUAAGUUAAUACCUUGCUGUUUUGACGUUACCAACAGAAUAAGCACCGGCUAACUUCGUG
rnacentral:rRNA from 1 species